CGAUAAUCUGCCCUUAGAUUUAGAAUAACCUUGGGAAACUGAGGCUAAUACUGAAUAAGGAAAUCUAACUGGAAGGUGGGUUUCUCUAAACGCAAGGUCUAAGGAUGAGUCGGCGGCGGAUUAGGUUGUUGGCGAGGUAACGGCUCACCAAGCCGAAGAUCCGUAGGGGCCUUGAAAGAGGUAGCCCCGAGAAGGGCACUGAGAUACUGGCCCUAGCUCCACGGAGUGCAGCAGGCGCGAAACCUUUACAAUGCACGAAAGUGUGAUAAGGGAACCCUGAGUGCAGAUGCAAUGCAUCUGCUUUUGUUGAGAGUAAAAAUCUUAGCGAAUAAGUGGUGGGCAAUACCUGUGCCAGCCGCCGCGGUAACCCAGGAACCACAAGUGGCAACCACCUUUAUUGGGCCUAAAGCGUUCGUAGCCUGUUCUAUAAAUUUUCUGUGAAAUUGUUGCGCUUAACGUAACAGCGUGCAGGAAAAACUGUAGAACUUGAGACCAGGAGGAGUUAGAGGUAUUUUAGGGGGAGCGGUAAAAUGCUAUAAUCCCUGAAGGACCGCCUGUGGCGAAGGCGUCUAACUAGAAUGGAUCUGACGGUGAGGAACGAAAGCUAGGGGAGCAAUCCGGAUUAGAUACCCGAGUAGUCCUAGCUGUAAACGCUGCGAGCUAGGUGUUACGUAAUCUUAGGGAUUACGUAGUGUCGUAGUGAAGACGUUAAGCUCGCCGCCUGGGGAGUACGGUCGCAAGGCUGAAACUUAA
rnacentral:rRNA from 1 species